rnacentral:rRNA from 1 species
AGCGAACGCUGGCGGCAGGCUUAACACAUGCCAGUCGAGCGGGCACUUUCGGGUGUCAGCGGCGGACGGGUGGGUAACGCGUGGGAACGUGCCCUCUGGUUCGGAAUAACUCAGGGAAACUUGAGCUAAUACCGGAUACGCCCUUUUGGGGUAAGGCGUGCUGCCGGAGGAUCGGCCCGCGUCUGAUUAGCUAGUUGGUGAGGUAACGGCUCACCAAGGCUAAGAUCAGUAGCUGGUCUGAGAGGAUGAUCAGCCACACUGGGACUGAGACACGGACCAGACUCCUACGGGAGGCAGCAGGGGGGAAUAUUGGACGCUGGGCGCAAGACUGAUCCAGCCGUGCCGCGUGAGUGAUGAAGGCCUUAGGGUUGUAAAGCUCUUUUAUCCGGGACGAUAAUGACGGUACCGGAGGAAUAAGCCCCGGCUAACUUCGUG